rnacentral:rRNA from 1 species
AUACGGAGGGGGCUAGCGUUGUUCGGAAUUACUGGGCGUAAAGCGCGCGUAGGCGGCUUAUCAAGUUAGGCGUGAAAGGCCUGGGCUCAACCCGGGAACUGCGCUUAAUACUGGUAGACUUGAGUCCGCGAGAGGGUGGCGGAAUUCCCAGUGUAGAGGUGAAAUUCGUAGAUAUUGGGAAGAACACCAGUGGCGAAGGCGGCCACCUGGCCCGGUACUGACGCUGAGGUGCGAAAGCGUGGGGAGCAAACAGAAUUAGAAACCCCGGUAGUCC